CGACAAUCAGGUUCAAUUAGAUCUCGAUAAGAGGCCGCAUUUAUUUCUUAUUUUUACCUUACGAUGUGUCUGCCUUUCAAAAACCCGCGCUGUUGGUGUGUGUCAAGUGCCAAAAGGUUCUAGAACUUUAACCUUAUCAGAUCAUUAAUUUGUCCUCUACUAUCUUCUUUUCACGCCGCUCGUAGUAAUUUCUAGUAGAAUCUAAUAUUUGUAUGCAUGGUACACGCAAUAUUUGCUAGGUGCAAUCCCAUAUCGUUCGAACGUGUUGAGUUAUUCACACGACGAAUGAUACGAAUAAGGGCAACACCAUCCAUCGCCAAAUUCGACGUAUGAAUAUUCAAUAUUCGACGUCGGGCGUAUCAUUCGAAUACAUCGGCACCCCUCGUCUCUCGUAGGCACUGCAAUUCCUGUAACGUGCACGAUGCUCGGCGUCAUUACAUCGGAAGCGGUCGCGCGAGCAUAUGCCGCAUGCAUGACUUUACAACUUCAGAGUCAGUUAGAUCAUCCAGAUGAAUUGUACUACAUUCAGCUUCUGAUAAAUUGGAUAUCUACAAGCAUUGUUAGCAAAGUUUUCUAAAAUAAAUAUCGCAUAGGACACCGUUAUAUACACAGGGUCGCCUUCAAUUAGGGAGGAUAUUCUCGCUCAUGGUACUCUCCUCCGCUACCGACCGAUCUUUCCGAGCAGCGACGUCGUGCGCGCGCUCUAUAAAAGGAUAGCUAGAGGUCUAAUUGCAGCCAUCAGCGAAAGCCGACGGACCGGAAGCGGGCGGAAACUUAGAGCAUUCUUCGCGAGGUCCUCCAUCGGGCGUCGAGAGAAUUCCUCGGCAAUAGCUCCCGCGCUCCUUCGCAAGAGAUUCCGCGGCCAAAGGCACCGGUCCAUUUUUCAGUAUUAGGAAGAAGCGAUAGCCCGCCGAGGCGAUCGGUAAUCGAUAUCCGUGGAGCGGCGAACGCUCGUAAACUGGCCAAACAACGAUACGUACCGUACCCGAUUGGUUUAGCUUCGCGAAGGGCGAGUACAGGUGCGCGAUUGGUUGAGCAGGUGAGCGAUUGGCUCGACCUAUCGGGCUUCCGUUUACCUCUUUCGCGUUUCUACCUUCGGCUUUUCUUCGGUCUAUUUGCGCGGCACACCGGAGUUGUAUAAAAAGUACGUAGCCGCGAGAACAGUUUUAUGAAACGCGAGAGACUUUUCGGGAUAUUUACCUUGUAUUAACCUCGCUACUUUUCUUGUUUGCCGCCAAUAUGCCUCUUUUUUUGCACUUUACUUUUCAAAUGCCUCGAGCACGUUUUAGACGACCUAUAGUAUGCGGCAAAGUUUGAAACGGAAUUUGUGAGGCAAGAUUCGAGUUGAAACAGAAUUACUUUUGCGGACGCAUGUAAAUUUUCACACAUGUUGUUAUUGUAUGUAUACGCGACAGACGAAAUUAUAAACCGAAUUCUGACCCGAGUUUCGUCUAAAGUGGGUUUCAAGGAGCAUUUAUAGCCACACAUUGCUUAUACACUGAAACGCACAUUAUGUUGAAACGCCUGAGGAAACGCCUGAAUUACGAAAGAUUUCCCUUCGCAUUUUAACGUCUGACUGGCAUAAUUCUACCGCCGCGAGCGUUGCAAUAUUUACUCAUUGAACAAAUUCUACGCGGUAUCGCGAUCGCACGCUAAGUAUGACGAGGGAAACCCGACGUUUUCUUUUUCGCAAUUCGCGUCGCUUUAUCGGUUAUUUUUGCGCCGCUCUUCCCUGGGGCGCAUCGUUCGAACUUACAGUUUUCGCGGGCGUUAACUCUCGUUGCGCCGUGCAAUUUAGCGUUUCAGCGACGUAUAAUCGCGUUAAAAGUCGAGCACCAACUCGAGACGAGGCGGUAAUCGCCCGUUCUAUCCGAUAACGAGUUUCGUCUAACUUCGCGACUGCGUAGCGGCGGGGAAAGAGAACGACAAAAUAAAGGGGCCGCCUACUAGGAGACAGUAGGUAAAGGGUGAGAGAAAAGGAAAGGGUUGCGAAUGAAACUGCGGAAGAAGUAAAAUCUCUCGUCAGAGGAAGAAAGAGAAAGAUACAUAUAAUAGCUAAUUUUCUUUUAACGAGCUCCCUUGUCCGAGUUAUUCCUGAUUGUAGCGGAUAUUCGAAACAGAUGAGAGAUCGAGAUCGUGAUCAAGAUUAAAAGUCGUGAACAUUUGAAAUUUCGUUAAGUGAAACGAACAUCUCUCGCAGAAAAACGCUCUGUUAUCUCUGCACAAGUAGAAGACAUAAUUAUCUCCGCAGUAAGCAUUCGUUAAGAUAAAAAUACAAAUGCCCGGACACAUACCUAAUCCUCGACCUUAUUAUUUUGGUUUUUAAAUACAAAUAUUUUAAUUUUCUAAUAAACAUUAAUUAUUAUAUAGUAACACAAUAUAGUAAUAUAACUAAUGUUAUAAUUUUAAUCAUAAUAUCGUAAUUGUAAUUUCCUAGUCAACGAUAUAAAUGUAAUAUAAUGCAAAUAUUAUGUAACAGUUACAAUGAUG